UACGUAGGGGGCCAGCGUUGUCCGGAAUCAUUGGGCGUAAAGAGCGCGUAGGCGGUCCGAUAAGUCGGCUGUGAAAGUCAGGGGCUCAACCCUUGAAAGCCGGCCGAUACUGUCGGACUAGAGUCCGGAAGAGGCAAGUGGAAUUCCCGGUGUAGCGGUGAAAUGCGUAGAGAUCCGGAGGAACACCGACGGCGUAGGCAGCGCCCUGGACGACACCUGACGCUGAGGCACGAAAGCUGGGGGGAGCAAAAGGG
rnacentral:rRNA from 1 species